ACUGGUAAGUGGUAACCGGCAUCGUUUCAUGGGGGGACCUCGUACACCUCCCGCUCGCGCUCUUCACUCGCGAAAUCCCCCCGUGCGCACUCUUCCCUCGCGCCCAGAUCUCUUCUUCGUCUUCCAAGUCCCAGGUCUGUAGCAGUCCGGCGCCGUCAGCUCCUUCUCUUGGCCCGGCCGCUCCCCGUCCCUGUCCGCCGCCGCCGCCGGCCAGGCCCUGUUUGCCGGUCUCUGUCCGCUCCCCGUUCGUAUCCGCCGCCUCCGGUCGGCUCCCCUCCCGUCCCUGCUUGCCCAUCGCGAUGGAUCCAACGAAAGAGCAUGGUAGGAGCAACUUGUUGGACGAAACAGCUUCGAGUUUAUCCUGCUGUUGGACUGUUGAGUGCUACUGCGUAUCAUGUAAUCUACUAAUUUAGUCUCAUGAUCUUAUGUGAACUGAAAUGUCCAGUUUUAUUUGUGUGUACAGUGUGAACUGAUAUGCUUGUGUAAACUGAAAUGAUUCUGUAAACUUUUUUUGAAC